rnacentral:lncRNA from 10 species
CUGCUAAAACAGACAAUGAGCUGCGGAACAGCACAGAGAUGAUCUCAUACUCAGACUUCAAUGUUUUGGGGGACUAGCAUUAGCAGGAAGCAUAAUCUGUACAUUAAUGAGAUGACUCCUGGAGACUGGGAUUAUAAAGAAUUUUUACUUUCUGUCCUACAUAUCUAUAAUGAUUAAUUUGUUUUACAGUGAGCAAGUAUAUUACUUUUUUUUUUUUUUUUUUGAGACAGGGUCUUACUCUGUCGCCCAUGCUGGAGUGCAGUGGCAUGAUCUCAGCUUACUGUAACCUCAACCUUCUGGGCUCAAGCGAUCCUCCUAC